GCUCCACUAUUGACAGAUUGCACGUGGCGAUGAUCACAUGAUUAAAACAUGGCGGACCAACCACCGACUGUAAACAGCGAUAUUCCGGAAAACAGCAAAGAAAGAUUCAGCUUAAUUAAGGAACAGUUUGUAAAGAAAUUUGGAUGUGAACCCAUUUUCUUUGCCAGAGCGCCUGGGAGAGUGAAUCUUAUUGGAGAGCAUAUCGACUACUGCGGCUAUGGCGUGUUGCCCAUGGCUGUAGAGCAGGACAUUGUCAUUGCUGUGGCAACUCAAGACAAUGGGAAACUUAACCUUUCAAAUGUUGACAGCCAAUACGUAGAUUUUGAGUGUGAUGUGGCAAAGUACGAAAUCAACUCCUCCAACCCUGUGUGGUACAACUACUUCCUGUGUGGGUUUCGGGGAAUGUCAGAGAUGCUGGGGCUCACUGAGCCCACAGGCAUGCAGUGUAUGGUGCACGGGCUGGUCCCAUGCAACGCCGGCCUCUCCAGCUCCAGUGCCCUCGUCUGCUGUGCUGCCUUGGCAACCAUGCAGGCUAACGGGCAACAGAGGUCAAAGAAAGAGAUAGCAGACAUGUGUGCGUCCUGUGAGCGCUACAUUGGUACACAGGGAGGAGGGAUGGACCAGGCGAUAUCCUUCAUGGCACAGAUGGGCACUGCCAAGAAGAUUGACUUCAACCCCCUCCGUGAAGAGUCGGUCAUGCUGCCCAGUGACGUGGUGUUUGUUGUGUCCAACUGCUGCGUAGAGAAAAACAAGGCGGCCUCGUCUGACUUCAACACAAGGGUCGUGGAAUGCAGACUGGCAUCACAGAUAAUUGCCAAGGUGAAAAAUUUAGACUGGCGCCAGUUUAAACGAUUUGCAGACCUCCAGAGAGCUCUAGGAGCCAGUCUCAGUGAGAUGGUGGCCAUAGUGGGGUCAGUGCUACAUGAAGGGGCCUACAUGAAGUCAGAGGUGUGUGAAGUGCUAGGGGUCAGCCAAGAAGAACUGGCUCAGACCAGUCUAAGUGCUAAUACUUUACAAGUUUCAGAAUUUCAGUUGCGAAAGCGAGCAUUACAUGUGUACAGCGAGGCUGGGAGGGUGGAGAGGUUCCAGGAAGUGUGCAACACAGCACCCCCUGGGGCCUCUGGAAUUCUGGGUAGUCUCAUGAACGACAGUCACACUAGCUGCAGUGUGAUGUACGAGUGCAGCUGCACUGAGUUAGACGACCUCGUCAAAAUCUGUGUGGAGGCAGGAGCUAUUGGUUCUCGACUGACGGGUGCAGGCUGGGGUGGGUGCGCUAUAUCCAUGGUUCCCAGCUCAGUUAUGGAGUCUUUCCUGGCAGCAGUGGUGGAGAAAUAUUACCAGGCCCGGGGGCUGGGCCCCAGGGUGGGAGAGGCCUUGUUUGCUACGCAGCCUGGAUCAGGGGCCGCUGUGUAUUUGGCAUGAGGAAGCAACUGUUUAAAUAGUGACCUAUGUCCCUGAAGGAAAUGAUAACAUGUAAAAUAACUUCAGUAUGGAUAGGCAGGUUAUUUAAUUUGUAAAAUAAAAAUUGGGCUAAAGUUUUAUUAAUCUAAAAAAAUGAAAAUCAAAUUUAUACAAUCUAAUUUCAGUGGACAACCUGCUAUAUAUCAACAUCUUUAAUGUUGUUGUUGUUUAAUUCUCAUAUAUGAUGUUAUAUGUUCUUAUUUUCUCCAUUGUGUUUAGGCUAUGGUUAUCAAUAGAACAAAUAAGUUAGAAUAGUUUAAAUGACAUUUACAUAGUGCACUAUGUAUUGUAGAGUAAUUUUUGUUUGGUGAUUCUUAAAAAAUUCAGCGUGACACUGACAUUUUUGUUUAAAAUAUUUUGAUUGUUUCCAUUAUUUUAUCAUUUCCAUAAUUAAUAAAUAGAAGGAUAAUUAAUAACUGUAAUAAAUGAUAUGUUGAUUGUUUCCAUUAUUUAUAAAGUGGAGGAUAAUUAAAAACUGUAAGAAUUAGAGGAAAUAACAUUGUAUAGUGAUAUACCUUUUUUGCUUAUGCAUAUUUUUGGACAUUAACAGUGUAUGUAUAUGUUGACAGAUACCAUUUUGAAUCUUGCUUGUGCUGUAAAUGUUUUUCUGUGCCCCCUUCGAAGAACAGGGGGUAUAUUGUUUUGCACAUGUCGGUCCGUAUGUCCGUAUGUCCGUCCGUCAACCAGAUGGUUUUCGGAUGAUAACUCAAGAUUGCUUAUGCCUAGGAUCAUGAAACUUCAUAGGUACAUUGAUCAUGACUCGCAGAUGAACCCUAUUGAUUUUCAGGUCACUAGGUCAAAGGUCAAGGUCACAGUGCCAAAAAACGUAUUCACACAAUGGCUGCCACUACAACUGACAGCCCAUAUGGGGGGCAUGCAUGUUUUAUUUUUUAAUUAAUUAUGAGUAAUUGGUAUAUUAAUGCUAUUUUAAAUGUUAAUACAUUUUUCUACAAAUUUGUAUAAAAUUAUGGUUCAGUUAGCAUAUUAUUUCAUUUAUAAUUUAUCAAUACAAAUAUUGUUUUUUUUUAUAAUUAUGUUUGUAAAAAAAAGUUGCUUUAGUCUGAAGAUAAGGUAUUAAGAAAAACAAUUAAACAUUUGGAAAUUUUUAUUUAGAGGCUUAAGUUGGAAAUCUUUAUAAAAAAACUAUUUCUGUGAUGUUUGUUUGCAUAUAAGUGUUUACAUGAUAUCUAAAUGUUGUUACUUGAAUGUUUACAAUUUUGUUAUUCUAUAAAUAUUUAACUUUCAUUUUUAUGAAGCUUUAUUUACAAUAUAAUUCGCCUCCUUGGUGCAAAAAGGUACCAUAUGACAUUUAAAUUAAUAGGCACAUGGUACCUUUUUACACCAAUUGGGCGAUAUGCAAACUACUUUACAUAUAAACAGUAUUAAACGUGUACAUAUACAGUGGUUAAAUACUAUUAAGAAAAACAUUUGAAUCGAUAUAUUGGUUUCUAAUACAGCUUAUAAAACUGAAUUUGAUGUUAAAAUAUUUUAUUAAGGAAAAUUACAAUUUCCGAAAUAAUUUCUUUGAUAAAGUUUGUAUUCGAUUCAACAGACACUGCGUACUUAUCUUCUUUUUAUAUAUAAAUAAGCCAGUCUUAAAAGUAUGUGCUUUAAUAAUGAAGGACUUGAUGCAUUUACAGAUUUAUGUGUGGUAUUGUGUUUUAUCUGCGUCACUUGAUUCAUCAAAGUUUUUAUCACUUUGGUAUUGAAAAGCUACAAUGAUUUACGUGCUGACAACCCUGAAGUUGCUACUCUUACUUUUACAUGGGACUCAAGUGAAUUAUUUUUAAAUGUUAAUGACAAGACAAAUGUACAUGGGGAGUUCUAGUUGUGUUAUUUGAGCCUCGAUCUGGGAAAACCAGGCUUAAUGCUUGUGCAUAAAGUGUCAUCCCAGAUAAGCAUUUGGCUUUGAUAUCCGCAACAGGGACGGCACUUUCUCACUAGAUAGGAUUUUCGUUGCAAAGGAACUUCCUGUAAACGAAAAAUUCCAUUCAAGCGGAAAGUGGUGUGUCUGAUUAGCCUGUGCAGAUUGCAAAGGCGAAUCUUGGACAACACUACACACACACACACGCAUUAAGCCCGUUUUUUCCAGAUCAGGGCUCAUAAUAGUUUUGAAAGUCUGCAAGUGUGUAUGUUAUGAAUCUAAAAUAAAAUGUUAAAAGGAAAUCGCGUUUUGAAACUUUCAGAGAGACAGGUUAAUAUAUAAUAUUUUAUAAGUUCACCUGAUUGCUCAGGUGAGCUUUUGUGACAGAUCUUUGUCUGUCGUCCGUCCGUUCGGCGUCCGUCCGUCCACAUUUGUUCGUAAACACUCUAGAGGCGACAUUUAUUGUCUGAUCUUCAUGAAACUUGGUCAGAAGCUUUGUCCCAAUGAAAUCUCGGUCGAGUUCGAAACUGGGUCGUGCCGGGUCAAAAACUAGGUCACUAGGUGAAAAUAAAGAAAAAACUUGUAAACACUGUAGAAGUCACAUUUCAUGCCCAAUCUUCAUGUAACUUUGUCAAAAUGUUUGUCUUAUUGAUAUGUUGGUUGAGUUCAAAAGUGCUUCCGGUCCGUUGAAAAACAUGGCCGCCAGUGAGCGGGGCAGUUUUCCUUAUUUGGCUAUAGAGAAACCUUGUAAACACUCUAGAAGUCACAAUUUUUGUCCAAUCAUCAUGAAAGUUGGUCAAAACAUUGGUUUUAUUGAUAUCUCGGACGAGUUCGAAAAUGGUCCAGAUCAGUGAAAAAACAUGGCCGCCAGUGG